UCCCCGGCCAGACUCCGGCGACGAGAGGGAGGCGGCGGCUGGCCGGGCCCCGCCCGCCCGAGCGUGCUACGCGGCCGGCGCGGAGCCAUGGAGCCUGAGCCAGUGGAGGACUGUGUACAAAGUACACUCGCUGCCUUAUAUCCACCCUUUGAAGCCACAGCUCCCACCUUAUUGGGCCAGGUGUUCCAAGUGGUGGAGAGGACUUACCGGGAGGACGCACUGAGGUAUACGUUGGACUUCCUGGUACCAGCCAAGCACCUGCUUGCCAAGGUCCAGCAGGAAGCCUGUGCCCAGUACAGUGGAUUCCUCUUCUUCCAUGAGGGAUGGCCACUCUGCUUGCAUGAGCAGGUGGUAGUGCAGCUAGCAGCCCUACCCUGGCAGCAGCUUCGCCCUGGAGACUUCUACCUGCAGGUAGUGCCCUCAGCAGCUCAAGCACCCCGCCUGGCUCUUAAAUGUUUGGCCCCAGGAGGUGGGCGGGUACAGGAGCUGCCAGUGCCCAAUGAAGUCUGUGCCUACUUGUUCACACCUGAGUGGCUACAAGGCAUUAACAAGGACCGGCCAACAAGUCGCCUCAGCACCUGCCUACUGUCUGCACCCUCUGGAAUUCAGCGGCUGCCCUGGGCUGAGCUUAUCUGCCCUCGAUUUGUACAUAAAGAGGGCCUCAUGGUGGGGCACAGACCAAGCACACUGCCUCCAGAGCUACCAUCUGGACCCCCAGGACUUCCCAGCCCUCCACUCUCUGAAGAGGUGCUGGGCACCCGGAGUCCGGGGGAUGGACACAAUGCUCCUGCAGAAGGCCCAGAGGGUGAAUAUGUGGAGCUAUUGGAGGUUACACUGCCAAUGAGGGGAACCCCCACAGACACUGAGGACUCCUGGGGCCUCUCUAGGACCCGCACUGUUCCCACCCGCAAGAGUGCAGGAGGGAAGGGACGGCACCGGAGACACCGGGCAUGGAUGCACCAGAAGGGCCUGGCACCUGGGGACCAGGAUGGGGCACGACCACCUGGUGAGGGAAGCAGCACUGGAACCUCCCCCAGUUCUCCCCCAGGAGCUGAGGCAGUCCCAGAGGUGGUAGUCCUGGAGGGAUCUGAGCCCCCAACACAGGUUCUGGGGGAAGUCUCUGAGCCUUGCCCCCUUCUGCCAGCGGAGGCUGGGGGAGUAGCAGGCCAAGGGGCUGAAGGACCACCUGGUGUCCCUCGAAGAAUAGGCAAAGGAAACAGAAGAAAGAAACGAGCUUCAGGGAAAGGUGCCAUAAGCAGAGGAGGAGACAGUGCCCCUGUCAGCCCUGGGGAAAAGGAAGAGAUCGGACAUCAAGAAGCUCCAGUCAAUCUGUCUUCACCAAAUGAACACAAGCCCCCAGAAUGCAGCCUGGUUCCUGAGGAGAAUGAAGUUUCUGGAAAACCCGAGUCUGAGCCAAAAGAGGAGUUUAAGCCAACAGUUGAAAAAGAGCCUGGGCCUCCAGAAGAAGGGGCCAGAGACAAUGAGCAAGAAGGCUUGAUCCCGGUGUGUAUGGCAGGACUUACAGGUGCAGAGGGACUCCUGCCUCACCCCCUGGCUCAGCCCCCCGAGACUGUGCAGGAAGUAAAAUGGGACAACAUCCCAGAAGAGGCCCCUCCAGGCACCGUCUCUGAUGACCCAGAUGUGGCUUGGGACCUGAUGGCAUCUGGAUUCUUCAUUCUGACUGGAGGGGUGGACCAUAGUGGGCGAGCUCUGUUAACCAUUACCCCACCAUGUCCUCCUGAGAAGUCCCCACCUUCCCAAGAUAUGCUGAGAAGUGUUCUUCAGUAUCUGCACUCACUGCUCAGGCCUGAUCUGCAGUCUCUGGGGAUGACGGUCCUGCUUGACCUACGCAAGGCACCCCCAUUGCCUCCAGCACUCAUUCCUAUCUUGAGUCAACUUCAGGACUCAGGAGACCCUCCCAUCAUUCAGCGGCUGGUUAUUCUCACUCAUGAUGACCCUCCCCCUGAUCUUCGUGGAUUUCAGGGUGCUGAAUUGCUAUCAGAGAAUGAUCUGAAAAGAGUAGCUAAGACAGAGGAGCUGCAGUGGAACUUAAGAGAUCAGAGGAACUCCUCCCCCAGUCACUGGGUAGAGAUACAUCAGGAGGUGGCCAGGCUAUGCAGCCUGUGUCAAGGUGUGCUGAGCUCCAUACGGCAGGCCAUUGAGGAGCUAGAGGGAGCAGUGGAGCCAGAGGGAGAGGAGACAGUGGGAAUGCCUGAGCCCUUGCAGAAAGUACUGGCAGAUCCUCGACUGACAGCACUGCAAAGAGAUGGAGGAGCCAUCCUGAUGAGGCUGCGCUCCACCCACAGCAGCAAGUUGGAGGGUCCAGGCCCAGCUACUCUCUACCAGGAGGUAGAUGAGGCCAUUCACCAGCUUGUCCGCCUCUCCAACCUUCAUGUGCAGCAACAGGAACAGCGGCAACGCCUGCAUCAGCUCCACCAGGUGUUGCAGUGGCUCUCGGGCCCAGGGGAGGAACAGCUGGCCAGCUUUGCUGUGCAUGGGGACUCCCUGUCUGCCCUGCAGGAGACAGAGCUGCGAUUCCGGGCUUUCAGUACUGAGGUGCAGGAGCGCCUAGCCCAGGCCCGGGAAGCCUUGGCUCUGGAGGAGGACACUGUAUCCCAGAAGGUUCUGGAUCUCUUUGAACAGAGGCUGGAGCAGGUUGAGAGUGGCCUUCAUAGGACUCUACGGCUACAGCGCUUCUUUCAGCAGGCACAUGAAUGGGUGGAUGAGGGGUCUGCUCGGCUAGCAGGAGCUGGGCCUGGUCGGGAGGCUGUGCUAGCAGCCCUAUCCCUGCAACGGGCCCCGGAGCCUAGUGCUGGCACCUUCCAGGAAAUGCGAGCCCUGGCCCUGGACCUGGGCAACCCAGCAGCCAUUCAAGAAUGGGGCCACUGCUGGGCCCGCUGCCAAGAGAUGGAAAGAAGGAUUCAGCAACAGCUGGGAGAGGAGGCCAGUCCUCAUGGCCACCGGCGGCGACGAGCAGACAGUGCCAGCAAUGCAGGGGCCCAGCGGGGCUCUCACAGCCCCUCACCCAGCCUCAACUCCCUGCUUCUCCCCAACAUCCCUGGGCCAUGGGCAGUCUCAUCCCAUUGUUCUCUGUCCCCAUGUGGGGAGGACUAUGAGGAGGAGGGUCCUGAGCUGGCUACUGAAGCAGAUGGAAGACCCCCAAGGGCUGUGCUGAUCCGAGGCCUAGAAGUCACCAGUACUGAGGUGGUAGAUAGGACAUGCUCACCCCGGGAACACGUGCUGCUAGGCCGAGCUGGGGGGCCAGAUGGGCCCUGGGGAGUAAGCACCCCCCAAAUGGAACGCAAACGAAGCAUCAGUACCCAGCAGCGUCUGGUGUCUGAACUGAUUGCCUGUGAACAAGAGUACGUGGCCACUCUGAGUGAGCCAGUGCCAACCCCUGGGCCUGAGCUAACUCCUGAACUUCGGGGCACCUGGGCUGCAGCUCUGAGUGCCCGUGAGAGGCUUCGCAGCUUCCACAGAACACACUUUUUGCGGGAACUUCAGGGCUGCACCACCCACCCCCUGCGCAUUGGGGCCUGCUUCCUUCGCCAUGGGGACCAGUUCAACCUCUACGCCCAGUUUGUGAAGCACCGACACAAACUGGAGAAUGGUCUAGCUGCACUCAGCCCCCUGGCCAAGGGCUCCAUGGAGGGUGGCCCUUAUCUUCCUCGGGCCCUGCAACAGCCCCUGGAGCAGCUGGCUCGGUAUGGGUGGCUCUUGGAGGAGCUCCUGCGGGAAGCUGGGCCUGAGCUGACCUCUGAGCGUCAGGCCCUCAGGGCUGCUGUACAGUUGCUCAGGGAACAAGAGACCCGAGGCAGAGAUCUACUCGCUGUGGAGGCUGUGCGAGGCUGUGAGAUAGAUCUGAAGGAACAGGGACAGCUCUUGCAUCGAGACCCUUUCACUGUCAUCUGUGGACGGAAGAAGUGCCUUCGCCAUGUGUUUCUCUUUGAGCACCUGCUCCUAUUCAGCAAGCUCAAGGGCUCAGAGGGAGGGUCUGAGACCUUUGUUUACAAGCAGACUUUUAAGACUGCUGACAUGGGGCUGACAGAAAAUAUCGGUGACAGUGGACUCUGCUUUGAGCUGUGGUUUCGGCGGCGGCGUGCACGAGAGGCAUACACUCUGCAGGCAGCCUCACCAGAGAUCAAGCUCAAGUGGACAAGUUCUAUUGCCCAGCUGCUGUGGAGACAGGCUGCCCACAACAAAGAACUCCGAGUACAGCAGAUGGUCUCCAUGGGUAUUGGGAAUAAACCCUUCCUGGACAUCAAAGCACUUGGGGAGCGGACACUGAGUGCCCUGCUCACUGGAAGAGGAAGCCAGGAGGGCUUUCCCACACCAGCACCCCACCACUCUCUGCAGCCGCCCGCACCCGGGCCUCAGUGGCCGUGUCAUCUUUUGAGCAUACUGGCCCCUCCCUUCCUGGCCUCUCGCCAGGAGCCUGCUCCCUGCCUGCUCGCGUCGAGGAGGAGGCCUGGGAUCUGGACGUCAAGCACAUUUCCCUGGCCCCAGAAACACUUGACUCUUCUGGAGAUGUGUCCCCAGGACCAAGAAACAGCCCCAGCCUGCAACCCCCCCACCCUGGGAGCAGCACUCCCACUCUGGCCAGUGGAGGGAUCUUAGGGCUACCCCGGCAGAGUCACACCCGAGCCCUGAGUGACCCCACCACACCUUUGUGACCUAGAGAAAACAGAGUUUGGCUGCAGCCCCUCUUCUCAGCACAUUUCAGACUGGGAUUAAUGAGGCAUAAUGGAGCUCUGAAUUCCUUCCCUCUGCUACCUAGACAGAGGAGGGCUAAGGACCAGAGCUUCCCCACUACCACUAUGUCUAGCUCUCCCCUACUUGGUGCCUUCUGCAGCAGGAACCAGAGUGACCACAUUUUGCUCCCCGGAGGUGGAGAACACCCUCUUCUAGUCCUUCUCCAUCCUGGGCCACUGCACACCCCCAGCACAAAGCUCUGCUGACAGCCUUUUCUCCUCUUCUCACCCCCUAACUUUCCCAGAGAGGAUUCAUCUCUGCCAGGUCAAAUGAAUGGCAUUCCAUUCUGGGGUGUUAUGGGAAUUGGACAAUGCAGACUUUACAUAUGUAAUUAUUGUUAUUGUACUAUUGUUAUAUUAAAUGUAUUUACUCACA